GCUUGAGAUAAUAAAUGAGUGAUAGCUCUGCAUCAGGCUACCUAUGAGAAAAGAAUCAGAAGAUAGGAGAAUGCAAGCCCUGGAAUUGAAGGACAUAGACUCUGUUUAAAGAACCUGGGCACCUGAUUUGGGACUGAAUUCCAGCAGGCAAGGCACCUAAAAUCAAGACCCUGCAAUGCCGAUCUCCUACUUGUGAAGCCCACCCUACAUGUGUAGAGACUGCAAAGGAACCCUGAGACUGGGCACAACAAGGGAUGAUUCUGACACAAGGAAGCAGGAAACUACAUAAAAAGGGAGAAGACUGGUGAAUAACUGACACAGAACUGUCAGUGGAACAGGUUGCUUUGGUGAACAAUUCUUGGCUUCUAGAAGCCCUGCACCAAAUUCCAAUACGGUUUUCACAUUAGAAAUUCCUCUAUCUGCAAGAAUUACACUGCCCUGCUUCUAUUUAAAAACUGUAGCUUUGGUCCAAGUUGCAGUUAGUGGAAGACCCAAUGCGGGAGGACAAACAGGUAGAUUUAUGCCACCUUUGUACUCCACAAUCUCCUUGGCUGGUGGGAGCCAUUUUGCACCGCUGGCACAAAUUCAAGUAGCUUCAGUACUGCACAUGAAUUUAAAGUAAUUCCAUGUAGGUCUAGAAAACUAAACACAACACCUAUUUCUACUUGUGAAUUAAACUAAUAAUAAACAAAGGUGCACUGACAAAACUGAAGCCAGUUUAGCUUUAUUGACUAAGUUGAAUUAAAUGUGAAAUAUUAAACAGUACAAUUGGUGGGAGGAAAAAAGACGUAAUACGUGUAAAGGUCAUUUCACUUUUAGAUAUCAGAGAUUAUAAUAGUAGCAUG